rnacentral:tRNA from 1 species
AAAUAAGAAGCGAUUUAUUGCUUUCAGUUUCGACCUGACCUUAGGUGUGUACACCCUUAUUUA